AUUGAACGCUGGGGGCAUGCUUUACACAUGCAAGUCGAACGGCAGCGCGGGGCAACCUGGCGGCGAGUGGCGAACGGGUGAGUAAUAUAUCGGAACGUACCCAGAAGUGGGGGAUAACGUAGCGAAAGUUACGCUAAUACCGCAUACGAUCUACGGAUGAAAGUGGGGGACCUACGGGCCUCAUGCUUUUGGAGCGGCCGAUAUCUGAUUAGCUAGUUGGUGAGGUAAAGGCUCACCAAGGCGACGAUCAGUAGCUGGUCUGAGAGGACGACCAGCCACACUGGGACUGAGACACGGCCCAGACUCCUACGGGAGGCAGCAGUGGGGGAAUUUUGGACAAUGGGGGGCAACCUGAUCCAGCAAUGCCGCGUGAGUGAAGAAGGCCUCGGUUGUAA
rnacentral:rRNA from 1 species